ACGAACGCUGGCGGCGUGCUUCACACAUGCAAGUCGCACGGAAAGGCCCUGCUUUUGUGGGGUGCUCGAGUGGCGAACGGGUGAGUAACACGUGAGUAACCUGCCCUUGACUUUGGGAUAACUUCAGGAAACUGGGGCUAAUACCGGAUAGGAGCUCCUGCUGCAUGGUGGGGGUUGGAAAGUUUCGGCGGUUGGGGAUGGACUCGCGGCUUAUCAGCUUGUUGGUGGGGUAGUGGCUUACCAAGGCUUUGACGGAUAGCCGGCCUGAGAGGGUGACCGGCCACAUUGGGACUGAGAUACGGCCCAGACUCCUACGGGAGGCAGCAGUGGGGAAUAUUGCACAAUGGGCGGAAGCCUGAUGCAGCAACGCCGCGUGCGGGAUGACGGCCUUCGGGUUGUAAACCGCUUUCGCCUGUGACGAAGCGUGAGUGACGGUAAUGGGUAAAGAAGCACCGGCUAACUACGUG
rnacentral:rRNA from 1 species